CUAUACUCGAUUAUCUAGUUAAGAUACAUCAAGUGAAUAGAAUCAUGUGUUUGACCAGUGACUUUUGCAUGUAUAUAGGUUGCGCGUCUUCUUGGAGAUAAUGCCUUGGCUAUUGAAGUAGUAUCUGGUGCUUGGUUGCAGGAUAUUCGCCCAAAGGCGAAUAAGUUGCCGGUAGGACCACGCGUGGUCAGAAAUCUGAAUUUUCCAAGAUGCACUUACGAUGAAAAUUUAUCAAUCACAAAGAACCCGAACCCAAACGCAACAGGAAGUUAAUAAAAAUGUGUUGAAGACAUGCCAUGCUUUAUUAUUUGGUCAUAGUUUUUGCAGCACUUUCAAGUCGAAAAGCAGUGACUAUAUAGACACGAAGAAAACAACCUAUAAAUAGUUUUUAGUUUAUGUGUAUUGUCAUUUAUCUUUUCAACUUUUGUAGAUAGAUUUUAUCAGAAGUUUGUUAUUAGUAAUUAAGUUGAAAACUUAUGUAUGAAUUUUGGUUUAUUAUUGUUAAUAUCAUUUGGUUUUAGGUUUU